CCUACGGGGGGCAGCAGUGAGGAAUAUUGGUCAAUGGGCGCGAGCCUGAACCAGCCAAGUCGCGUGAAGGAUGACGGUUCUAUGGAUCGUAAACCUCUUUUAUAAAGGAAUAAAGUGAGGCACGUGUGCUUUUUUGUAUGUACCUUAUGAAUAAGGAUCGGCUAACUCCGUGCCAGCAGCCGCGGUAAUACGGAGGAUCCGAGCGUUAUCCGGAUUUAUUGGGUUUAAAGGGUGCGUAGGCGGGCUGUUAAGUCAGCGGUGAAAGUCUGUGGCUCAACCGUAGAAUUGCAGUUGAAACUGGCGGGCUUGAGUAUGGUUGAGGUAGGCGGAAUGCGUGGUGUAGCGGUGAAAUGCUUAGAUAUCACGCAGAACUCCGAUUGCGAAGGCAGCCUGCCAAGC
rnacentral:rRNA from 1 species